ACGAACGCUGGCGGCGUGCCUAAUACAUGCAAGUCGAACGCUUCUUUUUCCAUCGGAGCUUGCUCCACCGGAAAAAGAGGAGUGGCGAACGGGUGAGUAACACGUGGGUAACCUGCCCAUCAGAAGGGGAUAACACUUGGAAACAGGUGCUAAUACCGUAUAACAAUCGAAACCGCAUGGUUUUGAUUUGAAAGGCGCUUUCGGGUGUCGCUGAUGGAUGGACCCGCGGUGCAUUAGCUAGUUGGUGAGGUAACGGCUCACCAAGGCGACGAUGCAUAGCCGACCUGAGAGGGUGAUCGGCCACAUUGGGACUGAGACACGGCCCAAACUCCUACGGGAGGCAGCAGUAGGGAAUCUUCGGCAAUGGACGAAAGUCUGACCGAGCAACGCCGCGUGAGUGAAGAAGGUUUUCGGAUCGUAAAACUCUGUUGUUAGAGAAGAACAAGGAUGAGAGUAACUGUUCAUCCCUUGACGGUAUCUAACCAGAAAGCCACGGCUAACUACGUGCCAGCAGCCGCGGUAAUACGUAGGUGGCAAGCGUUGUCCGGAUUUAUUGGGCGUAAAGCGAGCGCAGGCGGUUUCUUAAGUCUGAUGUGAAAGCCCCCGGCUCAACCGGGGAGGGUCAUUGGAAACUGGGAGACUUGAGUGCAGAAGAGGAGAGUGGAAUUCCAUGUGUAGCGGUGAAAUGCGUAGAUAUAUGGAGGAACACCAGUGGCGAAGGCGGCUCUCUGGUCUGUAACUGACGCUGAGGCUCGAAAGCGUGGGGAGCAAACAGGAUUAGAUACCCUGGUAGUCCACGCCGUAAACGAUGAGUGCUAAGUGUUGGAGGGUUUCCGCCCUUCAGUGCUGCAGCUAACGCAUUAAGCACUCCGCCUGGGGAGUACGACCGCAAGGUUGAAACUCAAAGGAAUUGACGGGGGCCCGCACAAGCGGUGGAGCAUGUGGUUUAAUUCGAAGCAACGCGAAGAACCUUACCAGGUCUUGACAUCCUUCUGACCGCACCUUAAUCGGUGCUUUCCUUCGGGACAGAAAAGACAGGUGGUGCAUGGUUGUCGUCAGCUCGUGUCGUGAGAUGUUGGGUUAAGUCCCGCAACGAGCGCAACCCUUAUUGUUAGUUGCCAUCAUUUAGUUGGGCACUCUAGCAAGACUGCCGGUGACAAACCGGAGGAAGGUGGGGAUGACGUCAAAUCAUCAUGCCCCUUAUGACCUGGGCUACACACGUGCUACAAUGGGAAGUACAACGAGUCGCAAAGUCGCGAGGCUAAGCUAAUCUCUUAAAGCUUCUCUCAGUUCGGAUUGUAGGCUGCAACUCGCCUACAUGAAGCCGGAAUCGCUAGUAAUCGCGGAUCAGCACGCCGCGGUGAAUACGUUCCCGGGCCUUGUACACACCGCCCGUCACACCACGAGAGUUUGUAACACCCGAAGUCGGUGAGGUAACCUUUUGGAGCCAGCCGCCUAAGGUGGGAUAGAUGAUUGGGGUG
rnacentral:rRNA from 1 species